UACGUAGGGUGCAAGCGUUAAUCGGAAUUACUGGGCGUAAAGCGUGCGCAGGCGGCUUUGCAAGACAGAUGUGAAAUCCCCGGGCUCAACCUGGGAACUGCAUUUGUGACUGCAAGGCUAGAGUACGGUAGAGGGGGAUGGAAUUCCGCGCGUAGCAGUGAAAUGCGUAGAUAUGCGGAGGAACACCGAUGGCGAAGGCAAUCCCCUGGACCUGUACUGACGCUCAUGCACGAAAGCGUGGGGAGCAAACAGG
rnacentral:rRNA from 1 species